rnacentral:rRNA from 1 species
UACGUAGGGGGCUAGCGUUGUCCGGAAUCACUGGGCGUAAAGGGCGCGUAGGCGGCCGAUCAAGUCGGGGGUGAAAGCCUGUGGCUCAACCACAGAAUUGCCUUCGAUACUGUUUGGCUUGAGACCGGAAGAGGUUAGUGGAACUGCGAGUGUAGAGGUGAAAUUCGUAGAUAUUCGCAAGAACACCAGUGGCGAAGGCGGCUGACUGGUCCGGUUCUGACGCUGAGGCGCGAAAGCGUGGGGAGCAAACAGG